AUACUUACCUGGCAGGGGAGCAUCUGUGAUCAGCAAGGCAGAGCUCCCAGGGUGAGGCUCAUCCAUUGCACAUCGGAUUUGCUGACCCCUGCGAUGUCCCCAAAUGCGGGAUUCUCGACUGUAUUAUUUCUGGUAGUGGGGGACUGCGUUCGCGCUUUCCCCUG
rnacentral:snRNA from 15 species